rnacentral:rRNA from 1 species
CCAGACUCCUACGGGAGGCAGCAGUGGGGGAUAUUGCACAAUGGGGGCAACCCUGAUGCAGCGACGCCGCGUGAGCGAUGGAGUACUUCGGUAUGUAAAGCUCUGUCAGCAGGGAAGAGAAUGACGGUACCUGACCAAGAAGCCCCGGCUAAAUACGUGCCAGCAGCCGCGGUAAUACGUAUGGGGCAAGCGUUAUCCGGAUUUACUGGGUGUAAAGGGAGCGUAGACGGUUGUACAAGUCUGAUGUGAAAGCCCACGGCUCAACUGUGGGAGUGCAUUGGAAACUGUAGAACUAGAGUAUCGGAGAGGCAAGUGGAAUUCCUAGUGUAGCGGUGAAAUGCGUAGAUAUUAGGAGGAACACCAGUGGCGAAGGCGGCUUGCUGGACGAAAACUGACGUUGAGGCUCGAAAGCGUGGGGAGCAAACAGGAUUAGAUACCCUCGUA